UAGGGAAUCCUCCGCAAUGGACGAAAGUCUGACGGAGCAACGCCGCGUGAGUGAAGAAGGAUUUCGGUUCGUAAAACUCUGUUGUUAGGGAAGAAAAAAUGUAUAGUAACUAUAUACAAAAGAGACGGUACCUAACCAGAAAGCCACGGCUAACUACGUGCCAGCAGCCGCGGUAAUACGUAGGUGGCAAGCGUUGUCCGGAAUUAUUGGGCGUAAAGCGCGCGCAGGUGGUUUAGAAAGUCUGAUGUGAAAGCCCACGGCUCAACCGUGGAGGGUCAUUGGAAACUAAUAAACUUGAGUGCAGGAGAGAAAAGUGGAAUUCCUAGUGUAGCGGUGAAAUGCGUAGAGAUUAGGAGGAACACCGGUGGCGAAAGCGGCUUUUUGGCCUGCAACUGACACUGAGGCGCGAAAGCGUGGGGAGCAAACAGG
rnacentral:rRNA from 1 species